rnacentral:rRNA from 1 species
UACGAAGGGGGCUAGCGUUGCUCGGAAUCACUGGGCGUAAAGCGCACGUAGGCGGAUUGCUAAGUCAGGGGUGAAAUCCUGGAGCUCAACUCCAGAACUGCCUUUGAUACUGGCGAUCUCGAGUCCGGGAGAGGUGAGUGGAACUGCGAGUGUAGAGGUGAAAUUCGUAGAUAUUCGCAAGAACACCAGUGGCGAAGGCGGCUCACUGGCCCGGUACUGACGCUGAGGUGCGAAAGCGUGGGGAGCAACA